rnacentral:misc_RNA from 1 species
UCCGUGUUAACCACGGCAGUCUCCUUAGAGAGCCCAACUGAAUGCUGGCAACUAAGGACAAGGGUUGCGCUCGUUGCGGGACUUAACCCAACAUGUCACCACACGAGCUGACGACAGCCAUGCAGCACCUGUCUCCCGGUCGUAUUGCUACGAAAGCACUGUCUCCAGUGCGGUCCAGGGAUGUCAAACCCAGGUAAGGUUCUUCGCGUUGCUUCGAAUUAAACCACAUGAUCCACCGCUUGUGCGGGCCCCCGUCAAUUCCUUUGAGUUUUAGUCUUGCGACCGUACUUCCCAGGCGGGGUACUUAGUGCGUUAGCGCCGCUUCAGCGGGGGUCAAGACCCACCAAAGCUAGUACCCAUCGUUUACGGCGUGGACUAC